CAUUUACCUUGCCCCCAAGGCUUGUGGUGUAAACACGACUUCAACCUCUCUAAUUUUACCAUUUUCGUUGUAGUGACCAGUGUGGACACCAACAUAAUUUUUUAACCAAUCAUCGCGUGUUUACAAGUUAUCGUAUCGUUGUGUAGACGUGUAAACGUUCGUCUGAAUUUGCUUAUCAAGCGAUUUAUUGUGUAGCUCCUUAUAUAUGUGGAUCGUGAAUGCAUGACGCUACUCGGCCCCAGGACAUUUUUUAAGGAAUUACGACUACUGCCGGGGCUAAAGCCGCGUUCACACCAGCGGCCCAGGUCUGGCCUGGGCCUUGACCUGGGCCAAUUGUGACGCAUUCACACUGGCUUGACGCCCAACUCCAGGCCAAAGCAAUCAGGCGUCAAUAUAAACGUCCUUGUGUUCCACUAAAGUAUUUAAUUUCGCGCUUUGAAUGUUUUUCCCUCCAAUUGUAUGACAAUCAUCUGACCAGUUUUUAUCGUGGGCAGAUAUUGCGAUGGUAACGGGGCCUCGCCCAGGCCAGGCCCAGGAAAAACCCGUUCACACCAGUGAUGAUCGAGGCCAGGUCCAGGCCACCUACAUUUGCUGGCCUGGAUUUCUUGACUUAGGCCAGGCUCAGGCCAGGUAAAACCCGUUCACACCUAGACCCAGGCCAGGUCCAGGCCAGGCCUGGGCCGCUAGUGUGAACGCGGCUUAAGUCUCAAUGAAGGCCUUUUCCCACACAGUGACGCGUAUACAUGAAGACCAUGCAUGCUAUGCUGACGUUUAUAAGAUGAAAUGUCGAGAAUGUGAGAGGAUAUGAGAAAGCAGGCAGAUGCAGCUUUUUCAACAAGGAUGACUUUUUACUAAUGAUCAAAAGGGCCCGACUUAUCUGAAAAUAUGCUUCACUACUGGGGCAAGCAAAGGGCCUACUGGGAUAAAUACCCCAGUAUAGUUACAUAGUUAAAAAAUCCCCUGACACUACUGUUAUAUUAAUGUGCAAAGAAUUGUUUUUUAUAUUAAUAAACAAAGUGUAUUAGAUAAAAUUUAAACGAUCAAUCUGUAUGGGAUUAAUCAUUAACAAAAAUCAUCA